rnacentral:rRNA from 1 species
AGAACGAACGCUGGCGGCAUGCCUAACACAUGCAAGUCGAACGAGACCUUCGGGUCUAGUGGCGCACGGGUGCGUAACGCGUGGGAAUCUGCCCUAUGGUUCGGAAUAACAGUUAGAAAUGACUGCUAAUACCGGAUAAUGUCUUCGGACCAAAGAUUUAUCGCCAAAGGAUGAGCCCGCGUAAGAUUAGCUAGUUGGUAGGGUAAAAGCCUACCAAGGCGACGAUCUUUAGCUGGUCUGAGAGGAUGAUCAGCCACACUGGGACUGAGACACGGCCCAGACUCCUACGGGAGCAGCAGUGGGGAAUAUUGGACAAUGGGCGAAAGCCUGAUCCAGCAAUGCCGCGUGAGUGAUGAAGGCCUUAGGUUGUAAAGCUCUCUUACCCGGGAUGAUAAUGACAGUACCGGAGAAGUACGCCCCGAUAACUCCGUGCCAGCAGCCGC